GACGAACGCUGGCGGCGUGCCUAAUACAUGCAAGUAGAACGCUGAAGAGAGGAGCUUGCUCUUCUUGGAUGAGUUGCGAACGGGUGAGUAACGCGUAGGUAACCUGCCUUGUAGCGGGGGAUAACUAUGGGAAACGAUAGCUAAUACCGCAUAACAAUGGAUGACACAUGUCAUUUAUUUGAAAGGGGCAAUUGCUCCACUACAAGAUGGACCUGCGUUGUAUUAGCUAGUAGGUGAGGUAAUGGCUCACCUAGGCGACGAUACAUAGCCGACCUGAGAGGGUGGUCGGCCACACUGGGACUGAGACACGGCCCAGACUGCUACGGGAGGCAGCAGUAGGGAAUCUUCGGCAAUGGGGGCAACCCUGACCGAGCAACGCCGCGUGAGUGAAGAAGGUUUUCGGAUCGUAAAGCUCUGUUGUAAGUCAAGAACGGGUGUGAGAGUGGAAAGUUCACACUGUGACGGUAGCUUACCAGAAAGGGACGGCUAACUACGUG
rnacentral:rRNA from 1 species